rnacentral:rRNA from 1 species
CACACCGCCCGUCACACCAUGAGAGCUGUCUGUACCCAAAAACAUUUUAGCCAACCCGAAAGGGAGGCGAAUGUCUAAGGUAUGGAGAGUGAUUGGGGUG